rfam:Ictidomys tridecemlineatus contig023256, whole genome shotgun sequence.
GGGGAUAUAGUUCAAUUGGUAGAGUACUUGUCUUGCAUGGAUAAGGCCUUGGGUUCAAUCCCCAGUACCACCA